ensembl:lncRNA
AGAGAGAGAGAGAGAGAGAGAGAGAGAGAGAGAGAGAGAGAGAGAGAGAGAGAGAGAGAGAGAGAGAGAGAGAGAGAGAGAGACAGAGAGAGAGAGAGAGAGAGAGAGAGAGAGAGAGAGAGAGAGAGAGAGAGAGAUGGGAUAGAAUAAAGAGAGAGAGAGACAGAACUUUUAGAAGUUGAGCUUUAUAAAGAUAUAGAUGUGGCUAAAUUAAGAACAGAGAGACACACAGAGACCUUUCUCAGCUGGUCCUACAAAGCUAUUCCCAGGCCUUGGCCCGCACCCUGGGGGAUGUUGGUUGGCAAAGACACACACACACACGGUUCUGGUGUCCUGGGCACUCACCCAAACCCUGGGCAGUUUAGCAAGUGUUUCAAGCUGUGUGUGUGCAGGCCAGCGUAUGUGUGUGUGUGUGUGUGUGUGUGUGUGUGCAGGCCAGCGUGUGUGUGUGUGUGUGUGUGUGUGUGUGUGUGUGUGUGUGUCUAAGUGCUGUUCACCGUGUAUCGUGUUGUCUUCAUGUCGCCGCUUGUGUCCUAUUAUCACCCUCCCCCCGCUACAACCCCUUCUUGGACUGGGCCACCAGCCAACUGAGCUGUGCCGGGAGGCGCCAUUGUCCCUGGCGGGGGCGUGUGGGGAUGUGUGGGUCCCAGCAGUGCUCUAGCCUCCCUGGUAGUUAAUUGAUUAAUGUCACUGAUUGACUGGACAUGUUACGCACCUGCUGUCCCAGGUGGGGGUUCUCUGUCUCUCUUUCUGUCUCUCUCUCUGUCUCUCUCUCUCUGUCUCUCUCUCUCUGUCUCUCUCUCUCUCUGUCUCUCACGCUCUCUCUCUCUCUGUCUCUGUCUCUCUCUCUCUCUCUCUCUCUCUCUCUCUCUCUCUCUCUCUCUCUCUCUCUCUCUCUCUCUCUCUCUCUCUCUGUGUGUGUGUGUGUGCGUGCGCGCGUGUGCGUGUGUGUGUGUGUGCGUGUGUGUGUGUGUUGGUAGAUGAAAGGACAACAUGGACCCAGAACAUUUGAAUUGUUUAAAAAACAAACUUUUAUUCUGAAGAACCCAAUAAAAUUAUGGCAAAUAUUUACAAAUAAUGACUUUGUUUCUUCACGGUACAUAAAUCCACGACACACACACACACACUCUGUUGAACAGGAGGACAGAUGCACAUAUUAGAAUCUGACAUAAAUCACACCUUAUUCCUUUCUGUAGUGCACUACUUUUCAAUAGAAGUACACUAUUAUAUAAAAGAGAAUUUUAAAGGUGUUAUUUAGGACCAUAGACUGAUUGUGACAAUAGAUGCACCCAGCGAACUGCAAGUCAACAUUUUCACAGAACAAAUCAACCCCAUAAAACUAAAAAAUAAUAUUAUAAUCAUUAUUAUUAACAAUAACAACAGUUAUAUAAAAAAAAUAAGCAUAAUAUCAAAGUCACUUUAUUUAAUUCUGGUUUUACAGAACAAAAUUUAAAUUUAAAAAAAUUUAAAAAAAAUAUUCUAAAAAAAAAGAAAAAAGAGCAAUUCAGUGACGUGAUAUCUUUGGCAAAUUGGCAGAAAAAAUACAUUAAAAUAUUAAGAAGAAGAAGACGUCACAAAACAGAGAGAGAAGAAGAAGAAGAAGAAGACGCCACAAAACAGAGACAGAGAGAAGAAGAAGCAAGGUUUUGUUUUUUGACACAACUAGAAAAUUUGAAUUAAAAAAAAAAAAAAAUACACAUUUUUCUUUAAAAAAGUAAUUUUUUUCUCUCCAUUUUGACAUUGUUUUUAAAUCGUCCCCCUUUCCACAAUAUUGAAGUUUUUAAAAAAUAUUUUCUGUUAUUUUGUAUUUUAAUUAUUCGUUUUUGUUACACUGAUAUAAGUGUGAGGAAAAUGUAUCUUUAGUUUAAAACAGGCUUUAGACUCAGGCUUUGGUGAAGGCUACAGAUAUGUUUUCAUUCUCAGCUCUGGAGGGAAUUCUCUCCUUUCAUUUUGAUACAAAAAAAAAAAAUUCAACCAAAUUUAGCAUUUAAAUUAUUAUUAUUUUUUUUUACAUUUAAUCAUCUUAACAUUUUUCUGUUGUCUUUUAAAUGUGAAAAAGUUUUUUUUUUUUUUUUAAACGUGUUGACAGGAAGUUAUGGAGCCGAGGACGCUCUAUGUGGUCAGAUUGUUUUGAAAAGUGCGGAAGCUUUUCCAUUAGGCCCUGGUUAAAUGUAGGGUAUUACUGUACGUAAAGACUACGGUGACAUUUAGUUGAGUACAUUUAUUUAGUUUUAUUUAUUUUAUUUAUGUUUUCUGAAAGCUGAACCUUGAAUAGAUUCUAGAUUAAUAUUAU